AAAGUACAAAAACUAUUGACAAUCAUAAUAGAUCUUCAACGAUUAGAUAAAUGUUCAAACGAAUUUUUCUUAUUGUUUUCAUAAUUCAAGUUUAGUAAAAUGAAAAUUUAGGAAAACUGGUGAAAUCCCUGCAAUAACGACGAAAAUGAGUUGUUUUAAUAUGAUCUAUAGUGGGAUGGAAUCAUGACUAGGUGUACUUCAAGCAACGUGCGUCACAAGUAAGUAUUAACAAAAUAAAAUGAUGUC